CUGGAUAUUGCUCCUUUCAAGUUUCAAACCAUUAAAUGCUAAAGAUUUCUGGAUAAAUCAUCGUAGAAGUCGAUUCUACAGAUUCCUUCUUAGUUACACUCAGAUGAUAAUGUAUUUAUUGUCCUUGACAUGUUUUUAAAGUUUGCAUUUUCAAUGUAUAUUUCAUUAACUAAGCUUUAUCAGCGGAAUAUCAUCGCAAAUUUGUUACGGAAAAUGCUAUUGCUAGAUUCUGAUAUAUCUACUUUAGUUUUAAGGAUUACACAUUGUUUUACGAUAUAAAAUAGAUGUUCUGCCUUGAUUUGAUGCGGGGGUAUGCAUUAGCUAACAUUAAUUCUGCUUAGUAUUUCUCAAAUUCAUUUUGGGUUAAAAAGUUGGAGCUUUGGAUCGGGUUUUUUCUUUAUUCAUGUUGGAAGAAUACAUGCAAGUCAUAUCUUGUGUUAAAAUGCAUGCAUGAAAUAAACUUGUUGGAUGACUAGUGAAGUUAGGCUAGUCAACAUUCUUUGUGUAAAAUGCAUGCAUGAAAUAAACAUGUUGGAUGACUAGUGAAGUUAGGCUAGUCAACAUUCUUUGUGUAAGUUAAGCAAGUUAGGCAAGUUAGGCUUAUGUCUACUUUCUUUUCCUAUAUAUAUGUUUCAUUUGUAAUUGUUUCUUCAUGAAAUACACAUAAAAAAUUCUACAUGGUAUCAGAGCAGGUUCAUUUGUAACCUGUCUCUGCCAUUCUUGCUGCUGCAAUUUUUUCUUUCUUUCAAAGUCUAAGUCAUGACUGAAGAAAGUUCUGUGAACCAUGAUGAGGAAACCCGGCACAAUCUCUCUCCAAACUUCUCAGACGUUGAGGUUAACACCAAUCAACGUUUGUGUUCAGUUCUCUUGAACGAGUUCAAUUAUCUUCCUUGGUCCCGAGCUGUUUCACUAGCUCUCGGAGGCAAAGGGAAGUUAGGGUUUGUAAAUGGAAGCGUGGAAGCUCCAGACAGUUCUUCCUCUACAUACAAUGCAUGGCUCUGCAAAGAUCAACUUGUCAUGUCCUUGCUGCUCAAACACCAUGGAGAAACAUGUUGCUGAAAUUUUUAGCUACUCCAAUUCCGCACAUGAUCUUUGGAAAGCUUUGCAGGAUAUGUAUGGAAAUCAAAACAACUAUGCACGGGUCUUCCAAUUAAAGAAGGACAUUGACAGUGCUCAACAAGAAGGGAAAGCAUUUGUUCAACACCUUGGGAGCCUCAAAGCCAUGUGGAAUGAGUUGGAUGUAUAUCUCCCUCAUACCACAGAUCCUACCAUUCUCCUAAAACGAGCUGAGGAAGACAAAAUUUAUCAGCUGUUAGGGAGUUUGAGCUCUGAGUACGAGGACCUAAGGAGUCACAUCUUGAUGAGUCAAGACCUGCCUACCUUCAACAAUGUUUGUGCAACUAUCCAACGAGAAGAAGUAAGGAAGAAGGUUAUGAAUGUUGAUCACAAUCCUAGAUUAACGGAGACUCGGGCAUAUGCAUCAAAGUACAAGAACUCAUAAGCCAAGGUAUACAAGGGAAGAAACACACAUCUAAAAUGCAAAUAUUGCAAUGGUGUUGGUCAUGAGGAAGACAAGUGUUGGGAACUUCAUCCUGAACUCAAGCCUAAGUUCAGCAAAGAUGGAAGGAUGAUACCAAGGUCCUCACAACAAUUUCAAACCUCAUUUCAAGGCACAACUUGCUAAUGCUCACGCUCCUACUAUCUCACAAGGAUCCAUGGAGUUCACUGCCAAUCCAUUGUCAUUAAUCAAUGAAUUUGCAGCUUACCUACAAAGUAAGGGGCACGGAGGAGGCUCAUAUGGUCAAGGCAAUGAAGAGGGUAGUCACACACACAGCUAUGUUGGGACAAUUUGCCGGAUUUCUUGCUGGAAAUGAGAAAGUUCCAAAGGGAGAAGCAUCAGGUAUACUCAAAGCCUUUACUACUGCCCUAUUAACUAGUACUGAAAUUGAUUGUUGGAUAAUUGAUUCAGGCGCCACAGAUCAUAUGACAAACAAAGUUACAAAUUUACAUCAUUUUAAAAAAAUUUCAAGCCCCUCACAUGUGUCUAUUGCAAAUGGAAAAAAUGUCUUAGUUUUGGGAAAAGGAGAAAUAAACUUACUCUCUCAAAAAACACCUUCCACUGCCCUCUAUGUACCAACCUUUCCCUUCCAACUUUUGUCAAUUGGAAAGAUCACCAACACCCCUAAACUGCCGUGCUAUUUUCUCACCAAAUAAAGUAAUGUUUCAGGAUGUUCUCACCAUGAAGAUGAUUGGUGAAGGGGUCUUCAUAAAUGGACUUUACUACCUGUGCAAGAAUGCAUGUUUCACUCAGGCUCUUCAAGCUCAAUCGAAGUCCAUAGAUGAAAACCAACUUUGGCAUAGGAGAUUAGCUCACCCCUCUGAACUUGUCUUGUCGAAACUGUUUCCAAAUUUUUGUAACCCCUAUCCUACUUGUGAUACUUGUCAAUUUUCUAAGUUUACUAGGCUACCUUUUGGUAAUUCAAUGUCUAGGACAAGUAAACCUUUUGAAAUGGUACACACCGAUGUAUGGGGACCUGCAACUGAAUCAAUGGAAGGUUUUAAAUAUUUUGUUCUAUUUGUUGAUGAUUUCUCUCGAACAAGUUUUCUAUAUCUUAUGAAAUCAAAAAGUGAAGUCCCUACCAUUUUCAAAGACUUUCACAUGCAUGUUAAAACGCAAUUUCAAUCAAACAUUAAGGUUUUAAGGUCAGAUAAUGGCACUGAAUUUCUAUCCAACAACAUGCUUCAAUACAUAAGUUCUCAGGGUAUCAUACAUCAAACCAGCUGUGUGGGGACUCCCCAACAAAAUGGAGUAGCCGAGAGGAAAAAUAGAGAUCUCUUGGAAAAAACUCGUGCUCUCAUGAUUCACAUGCACGUUCCAAAGAAAUUUUGGUCGUUUGCCAUCCUUACUGCCACUUAUCUCAUCAAUCGACUUCCAAGUCGUGUGCUAGGGUUUAAAUCUCCUUAUGAAGUUCUCAAGGGGAGGAAAAUAGAUUUGACACAUCUCAAGGUGUUUGGUUGUGUGUGUUUUGUUCACAUCCAAACCUUGAACCGUGACAAAACUAGAUGCCAGGGCAACCAAGUGUGUGUUUAUGGGAUACUCGACCACUCAAAAGGGAUACAAGUGCUUCAAUCCAGUCACUAAGAAGUGCACAGUUUCAAGAGAUGUGAAGUUCGAAGAAGACUAUCCCUAUUUUACAAGUCAGGGGGAGGAUUUAGUUGACAUGUUCCCACUCCCUCAAAACUUUAAUUAUCCGAUGUUGGAAAAGAGAUCAGUCAUUGUAAGUCCAGAUUGUGAAGAAGUUCAAACUGACCAAAUUACUGCCAGUGAAAGUGAAGACGAGCCCUACUCUGAUCCUUCUCCGCCCUCUACAGAGUCUCAGGUGAUUAAAAGAAAUCCUCCUCGAAUCAGAAAACCUCCAGCUAGGUUGCAGGACUAUGUUACAUAUGCCUCACGACAUCCAAUCAAUGAAUGUAUCAGCUUUAGUAAGUUCUCAACAUCUCAUGCUGCAUUUCUCAGUGAAAUUGAUAAGCACUAUGAACCAAGAAGCUUUCAAGAAGCUUCUCUUCUCCCACAAUGGAACCAAGCCAUGAAAGAAGAGAUUCGUGCACUGGAAGAGAAUUGCACCUGGAGCCUAGUUCAACUACCACCAGGAAAAAAGGCUGUUGGAAGUCGUUGGAUUUACAAGACUAAAUUCAAAGCUGAUGGAUCUAUCGAGAGACACAAGGCUAGACUUGUUGCUCGAGGUUUCACCCAAACCUUUGGUGUAGAUUAUAAGGAAACAUUCGCACCGGUGGCCAAGAUGAACUCAGUCAGGGUUUUACUGUCAGUUGCAAUCAAUUGUGGAUGGUCACUCUACCAAAUGGACGUGAAGAAUGUUUCCUUCACGGCGAGCUGCAGGAAGAAGUGUAUAUGCAACCUCCUCCAGGCUAUGAUGGUAUUAAAGGCAACAUGGUUUGUAAAUUGCACAAGGCAAUAUACGGAUUGAAACAAUCACCAAGAGCUUGGUAUGCCAAGCUCAGUUCUGUUCUGGAAAAGGCUGGAUUCAUGCGAAGUAAUGCUGAUUCUUCGUUAUUUGUAAGAACUGGCACCAGGGGGAAGUUGGUGGUCCUCGUCUAUGUUGAUGAUCUUAUCAUCACUGUAGAUAAUACCGUGGAGAUUGAGGCACUAAAACUCUCACUACAUCAAGCUUUCGCUAUCAAAGAUUUGGGGAGGUUAAAGUAUUUUUUGGGGAUCGAAAUGGCAACAUCUUCAAAAGGACUGUUUCUACAUCAACGGAAAUAUGUAUUGGACCUCCUUCAAGAAGCAAAAAUGCUUGACUGCAAGCCUGUUAUCACUCCCGUUGAUUGUAAACUGAAGCUCAGCAUAGAUGGAGAAGCCAUGCAUGAUGUAAGCUACUAUCAACGAUUAGUAGGCAAGCUCAUAUACCUCACUAUCACUCGUCCAGAUAUCACAUAUGCAGUGAGCUUGGCUAGUCAGUUCAUGCACUCUCCCACUGUUGAUCACCUUAACCUUGUUAAGAGAAUCCUUCGUUAUCUUAAGGGUUCAAUUGGGCAAGGAAUUACAAUGCAUAACAAUCAGUCCACUGUCAUUAGUGGCUACACAGAUGCAGACUGGGCAGGUAAUGCAAUUGAUAGGAAAUCAAUCACAGGCUAUUGUACAUUUGUUGGUGGAAACCUUGUCACAUGGAAGAGUAAGAAGCAACAGGUAAUUGCUCGUUCCAGCGCAGAGGCUGAGUAUCGAGCCAUGGCAGCCACUGCGUGUGAACUCAUUUGGCUUAAAGGGCUUCUUUCAGACUUAGGGUUUCCUAGUUCUACUCCUAUGAUGCUUAUGUGUGAUAAUCAGGCAGCCAUGCAUAUUGCUGCCAAUCCUGUGUUCCAUGAAAGAACCAAACAUAUUGAAGUGGAUUGUCAUUUCAUCAGAGCUCAAGUUCAAACGCAAAUCAUCCGGACCAUGUUCACACGAAGCCAUGAUCAACUAGCAGAUCUUUUUACAAAGGCACUAGCAUCAUCUCAGUUUCAUCGGUUAUUGGGCAAGCUUGGCUCAGUGAAUCCCCUCGAUCCAGCUUGAGGGGGAGUGUUGGAAGAAUACAUGCAAGUCAUAUCUUGUGUUAAAAUGCAUGCAUGAAAUAAACAUGUUGGAUGACUAGUGAAGUUAGGCUAGUCAACAUUCUUUGUGUAAAAUGCAUGCAUGAAAUAAACAUGUUGGAUGACUAGUGAAGUUAGGCUAGUCAACAUUCUUUGUGUAAGUUAAGCAAGUUAGGCAAGUUAGGCAAGUUAGGCUUAUGUCUACUUUCUUUUCCUAUAUAUAUGUUUCAUUUGUAAUUGUUUCUUCAUGAAAUACACAUCAAAAAUUCUACAAUUCAGCUAUCAUUUUCUGCUUAGGAGACUCUCUUAAACUGUGUGAAACUGUGCUCAUUAGGCUGGGCAGAGCAAUGACAAGCUAAAAACAAAACAAAAACAAGCAGAAUUAUCACAUGUAGUGCAGGAUAAAUUCUAAACGACCCAAAUCUGGAUGGUAAAAUACUUGGAGUUGGAAUUAAUAGGAUCGAUUGAAACAUGGAUUUUUUUUUUAUUAGAUUGGUAUAUCUGACUUAAUUAAGAAGU
rnacentral:lncRNA from 1 species